rnacentral:rRNA from 1 species
GAUGAACGCUGGCGGCGUGCUUAACACAUGCAAGUCGAACGGRGUUUAAGAAGGAAGCUUGCUUUCAUUUUAAACUUAGUGGCGGACGGGUGAGUAACGCGUGAGGAACCUGCCCUUCAGUGGGGAACAACAACUAGAAAUGGUUGCUAAUACCGCAUAAUGUCGGAGAGCCGCAUGACWUUCCGACCAAAGGAUUUAUUCGCUGAAGGAUGGCCUCGCGUCCGAUUAGAUAGUUGGUGAGGUAACGGCCCACCAAGUCUGCGAUCGGUAGCCGAACUGAGAGGUUGAUCGGCCACAUUGGGACUGAGACACGGCCCAGACUCCUACGGGAGGCAGCAGUGGGGAAUAUUGGGCAAUGGGCGAAAGCCUGACCCAGCAACGCCGCGUGAAGGAUGACGGUCUUCGGAUUGUAAACUUCUUUAAU